rnacentral:rRNA from 1 species
UACGUAGGGUGCGAGCGUUAAUCGGAAUUACUGGGCGUAAAGCGUGCGUAGGCGGUUCGUUGUGUCUGUGGUGAAAGCCCCGGGCUUAACCUGGGAAUGGCCAUGGAAACUGGCGAGCUGGAGUGUGGCAGAGGGGGGUGGAAUUCCGCGUGUAGCAGUGAAAUGCGUAGAGAUGCGGAGGAACACCGAUGGCGAAGGCAGCCCCCUGGGCUAACACUGACGCUGAGGCACGAAAGCGUGGGGAUCAAACAGG